AGAUGCGGUGAAUACCUUGAGGGUUCAGAGUUCGAAGCCCACCUGUGUCACCUGCGGUUCUUCCCCACACACCUGACGUGGCCGGCCGGCGUCCACGCACCUUGCCAUCGUGUCUUACAACGUCUUAAGAUUCCUCGGUAUUUUCUAAGACAUAAUAAGAACAGCCGUCAUACAACUGUACUCACGAGGUGAUUUUCAAGACGACUGUUUUUGUCUUACGAAGAAGAAACCGUCAGGUCACCUGUGGGCGGUACCUUUUAAGUCUCCCAGCUGUUCAGAAAAAAUCCUCAGUAGUUCUUGAGCAGCAGAACAAAUCACUCCUACAGAAGAUGGUAGAUCUGAGUGGUUCGGGUCCAGACGCACCGUUAGAACACGCCUUCGACAACAGGCUGUUCAUUAUACCUGCUGCCAUCAUCAUGCUCAUCAUAGGUUUUGCCGGCUACAAGCUCUACACCUCAGUCUCUUCGAGAGAGCGGGCGCGGGAGGAGAAACGUCAGCGCCGCAAGGAACGGAAGGAUGUCAAGACGACGGACAAGAAGAAGAAAUAACCUGCAGCAUUGCCAUAGUUACCCGUGGAGUUGCCAUGGCUACCACCACAUUCCGAGGGGGUUUGUCUGUGUCCGAGGUCAUCUGAGGUCAUCGGGGCUGCUGCAGCGUUCUUUUUGCUGGACAUGAAGAAUUCUGAGUAGACGGUGAAAUGUCUACCCUGGAGGCAAAGUACUGUAAAUGCAGAAAUGCUCGCGGUUUUCGCUGUGGCCACUUCACCGUGAAUUUAAAACCACCGCGAACAUUUUUCCAUGGCAGGGAAGAGACUACAGUGCAUGGUGCUACCGCAAACUUAAAACCACCGUGAAAAGUCAUUUUUCUGCUACCGCGAAAUUGAAUUCCCGCGAACUUAAAUGCAUUUGCAGUGCUGUAUGGUUUCAGACACACUACCAAGCCACAAGUUCGUUGGUCUCUUAGUCAGACAAGAGGGGCAAACUGGCUAAGUCUAGAAUUUGGCUUGAAUUUGAACGUCUCUAAUUGUACAAGCUAAAAUUUCUUGCAUAUUCAUCAGAGAAGAGACAUGAAAGUGAACUGCAUCUACAGGUAGGAUAGACUAGGAAACAGUUUUACCUGGUUUACCAUUUCUCAAAGUCUCAGUUUUGAUUAUAGAUUGGGUAAAGGAAAAAUGCAGUUCACAUCAAAUUCAGUAGAUGGCAUUUCUGCUUAAGGACUCUUGCACUAAGACUCCAUCAGUAGCAGGUCAACAACAUGGGGUUAAAGAACUUGUGGCCCAAGUAGAGACUCUAAAUCUGUGUGGGGUUCUUUGCCUUCUAGGGUAUGAAAUAUCGUGGUAACUUAUAAUGCAGUCCACCUGUACAAUUUGUGAUACAGACCACUGCCCUGGGCAGAGUUAGGUGCUCUUAUUUUUCAGAAGCAUAAUUUUGAAAAAGAAGCAACUCGUGCAAAGAAAUAUUGAUUACACCACACUGACAACAAAUUGCUUUUUUUGUGAAAUUUACAGCUGCUCAAGAGUUUGUCGAGACAAAAAUUAGUCUGAUUUUAUCUUUACUAUCGGGUUAAUCAAUUCAACAGUUUUUUGCUCACAUAGUUUUUGUGGUGACCACUGACUUCACAGCAAAGUUGGAACCAUCGUUAACAUUUUUCCAUUAUGAUACAAGGCUGCUGUCUAUGGUACUACCACAAACUUAAAACCACCGCGAAUACUCCAUUUUCCCGCUAUCGUGAAAGUAAAUCCCUGCAAACUCAAAUGUAUUUACAGUAGUAUUAUAAAACUGGAGGGACCGGGUUUGAAUUCCACCUACUAGCCUCUCUUGUUUUUCACAAGCACUGUCUUUGAAGAGUUGUUCUGAGUGCUUCGUGGGAUGCACAGGGAAUACAACUCUGUCACCUGUUUUUGCAAAAUUUUCAUAAAAACUUGCAAUUUUAAAAAACUAAUGCAGAGCACCUAAUCCUGCCUGGAAUGUAGUUAAUUUUACGAUUGAGAGUAAGUUAUGCUAAGAUACAAAAAAGUCAAUGUUUUCAUUCUCAUAUAAGUAUGAAUGUCAGCGAAAUGUGCAAUCUGAAUUGAAGGACAGACAUUUUAGUAAGCUUUAAGGCUUUGAAUAUGUUUGAAUAGAUUUUAUCAGUUUUAGCAACUAUUCUGUUUAUUAGAACCAGCUGUAUUCGUAUUAACAGUAGAAGUAAUAUGACAUCUAAUCUUAUGGAAAAACUAGACUCUAACUAACCAACACUACAAAUAAGUUGGGAAUUACCACAAAUUUUUGGAUGACUCCGUCAGCCUUGUUCACGGAAUGGACCCAUCUACUGUAACUUUAAGAUUGUGACGUCGUAGACAUUAUUACUGCAGCAGAGGGUUGUAAUGCGGUACCGUAAAUGCUAGAUAAGCUAUGUCGCCCCCCGUCUCGGUGGUCAAGGAUGUACACAGCCUUCUUCACUGCUUUUGCAAAGAAUUCCGGCUCUGUAUCGACAUAGGUCCCAACUCUUUUGUAGUGUUGGUCAGUUAAAGUUUGAUUUUUCCAUAAUGUCAUUUGCCAACACAGAUGAACUUUCAUGCUAAGAUCUGUGAUCUUGUUUAUGAUAAAGUAUGUAUAAUGUGCCACUCCUAACUUGCAGUGCCAUAUUAAUGUAGAUGCAAAUUAUGGGGUCAGGAAAAUCACAUGAAAAGCAGGUAUAAUGUAAUUUUUAAUAUCCUAAUGCCUACAUUGUUCUGGUUGUUCAGUCCACAGGUUUUAGCAGUUAUAAGUCUUGUAAACGAUAUCGUCUGUAUUAUUUUAACAAAUUAACAUCACGGAUAUGUUGAAAUUUAAGUUAUACUGAUAGAUAUGUCAGAUUUUACAUAAUGUGAGGAAAAUGUUUGGUUGUCAGAUACUCUACAUGACUUGCUGUGAUAUGUUACUACCCACUAGUUUGAUUUUUAAAGAAGUAAAAGGAAUUUUUCCUCUAACAAUGGCAAGACCUUUUAUCUAAAAAAACUGAUUCAAAAUUGUUCUUUUUUUUCUCUAUCUCAAGAUCUUUCUCAUUUAAUCAUCAAACAAUUGUGUUUUUCCUUUGCCUUUUUUUUUUAAUUUCCUCUUUCACUACUUUUCCCCAAACUUUUUUUUUUCCUUUUGGACUGGUCCGAAAAAACUGGGCCUGAAAAAAUUGAAUUUUGGACCGAUCAGAAAAUAAACACACUAUAUUGGCUGGUGUCUUGGGGAUUUACCAUACAAGAAAAAGUGAAGAGCGACGUAGAGUAGAAUUUAUAUAGUUUCAACAGACAAACCUACAGGGGUGGAGUUAGUCUUGUGUAGGGAGUCGGAUAGUCCACCUAAUACUGUAAAUGCAGAAAUGUUCGCGGUGGAUUAAUGUUCACGGUUUUUGCGGUGACCACUUCACCACGAACUUAAAACCAUCGCGAAAAGUCCUUUUUCACACUACCGCAAAAUUAAAUCCCCGUGAACUUUAAUAAAUUUGCAGUAUCUUCAUUGAUUUUGUACAGAAAAAGAUGGUCGUCUUGAGUAUGGCCAAUUCACAAGUUUUCAAAAUCAGGUAUGGACCUGAACCUGACAUCCACCUGAAUUUUCUGUACCCCUAUAUUAAAUAAAUGACUUCACAAUACUACCUUAUACACUUAAAGCCUGCUGCCAAAGUAUCUCUAUGUUUGGUACCAAAAUUUGCAUCAAAUAUUGGAAAGGCAGCAGGGAGAACAUAACGCUAUUGCUGUAUCAUUUCUGUAAGCCCUGAUGUAUCCUUACUUUAGACAACAGCAACAACAACGAUGUAUAGGAAAUCCCCAUGUCUUAAUUGUCAGAAUUGUUAUUCAGCAUUGUUAUGUGGGGUGUUUGGCAGCUACAUGUAUUGAUGAAAACAAUGAAUAGUUUUACAUAA